rnacentral:rRNA from 1 species
AGCGAACGCUGGCGGCGUGCCUAACACAUGCAAGUCGAGCGAGAAAGGGGUGGCAACACCCUGAGUAAAGCGGCGAACGGGUGAGUAACGCGUGGGCAAUCUACCUUCCAGUCUGGGAUAACCUUCCGAAAGGGGGGCUAAUACCGGAUGAUGUCCUGUUGGGGCAUCCUGAGGGGAGCAAAGGGGGCGACCCGCAAGGGGCUCUCGCUGGAGGAGGAGCCUGCGUCCGAUUAGCAGUUGGUGGGGUAACGGCUCACCAAGGCGACGAUCGGUAGCCGGCCG